UACGUAGGGGGCAAGCGUUGUCCGGAAUCAUUGGGCGUAAAGCGCGUGUAGGCGGCUCGAUAAGUCUGCUGUGAAAGUUCAGGGCUCAACCCUGAAAUGCCGGUGGAAACUGUCGAGCUAGAGUACGGAAGAGGUGAGUGGAAUUCCUGGUGUAGCGGUGAAAUGCGCAGAUAUCAGGAGGAACACCAAUGGCGAAGGCAGCUCACUGGGAAGUUACUGACGCUGAGACGCGAAAGCGUGGGGAGCAAACAGG
rnacentral:rRNA from 1 species